rnacentral:rRNA from 1 species
CAGAGGAACCUGUCCCUUAAUCGAUAAUCCACGUUGGACCUUACUUAGGCUUGUUUAGUUUAUAUACCGUCGUUAUGAAAAACUUUUUAAGAAAAAUAGUUUUUAAUAAUUAUAAUUAUAAUUAAUAUCAGAUCAAGGUGUAGCUUAUGCUUAAGUGGAGAUGGGUUACAAUAAAUUUAUUUUUGGAUAUUUUAUUGAAAAUUAAAAUUGAAAUUGGAUUUGAUAGUAAAUUCUUAGAGAUUAAAGGGUUGAAACUAGCUCUAAAGUAUGUAC